AUUGAACGCUGGCGGCAUGCCUUACACAUGCAAGUCGAACGGCAGCACGGGUGCUUGCACCUGGUGGCGAGUGGCGAACGGGUGAGUAAUACAUCGGAACGUACCUUAUCGUGGGGGAUAACGCAGCGAAAGCUGUGCUAAUACCGCAUACGCCCUGAGGGGGAAAGCGGGGGAUCGAAAGACCUCGCGCGAUUAGAGCGGCCGAUGCCUGAUUAGCUUGUUGGUGGGGUAAAAGCCCACCAAGGCGACGAUCAGUAGCUGGUCUGAGAGGACGAUCAGCCACACUGGGACUGAGACACGGCCCAGACUCCUACGGGAGGCAGCAGUGGGGAAUUUUGGACAAUGGGGGCAACCCUGAUCCAGCAAUGCCGCGUGAGUGAAGAAGGCCUUCGGGUUGUAAAGCUCUUUUGUCAGGGAAGAAACACCGGCUCUAACACAGUCCGGGAAUGACGGUACCUGAAGAAUAAGCCCCGGCAAACUUCGUGCCAGCAGCCGCAGUAA
rnacentral:rRNA from 1 species